UACGUAGGCAGCAAGCGUUGUUCGGAGUUACUGGGCGUAAAGGGUGCGUAGGCGGUCCUAUAAGUAUGGUGUGAAAUCUCCCGGCUUAACUGGGAGGGUGCGCUAUAGACUGUGGGACUAGAGUGUGGGAGAGGAAAGUGGAAUUCCUGGUGUAGCGGUGAAAUGCGUAGAUAUCAGGAGGAACACCGGUGGUGUAAACGGCUUUCUGGACCAUAAACUGACGCUGAGGCACGAAAAGCGUGGGUAGCAAACAGG
rnacentral:rRNA from 1 species